GACGAACGCUGGCGGCGUGCUUAACACAUGCAAGUCGAACGGAAAGGCCCUGCUUUUGUGGGGUGCUCGAGUGGCGAACGGGUGAGUAACACGUGAGUAACCUGCCCUUGACUUUGGGAUAACUUCAGGAAACUGGGUCUAAUACCGGAUAGGAGCUCCUGCUGCAUGUUGGGGGUUGGAAAGUUUCGGCGGUUGGGGAUGGACUCGCGGCUUAUCAGCUUGUUGGUGGGGUAGUGGCUUACCAAGGCUUUGACGGGUAGCCGGCCUGAGAGGGUUACCGGCCACAUUGGGACUGAGAUACGGCCCAGACGCCUACGGGAGGCAGCAGUGGGGAAUAUUGCACAAUGGGCGGAAGCCUGAUGCAGCAACGCCGCGUGCGGGAUGACGGCCUUCGGGUUGUAAACCGAUGUCGCCGGUGACGAAGAGUGAGUGACGGUAAUGGGUAAAGAAGCACCGGCUAACUACGUG
rnacentral:rRNA from 1 species